rnacentral:rRNA from 1 species
UACAGAGGGUGCGAGCGUUAAUCGGAAUUACUGGGCGUAAAGCGUGCGCAGGCGGCUAUGCAAGACAGAUGUGAAAUCCCCGGGCUCAACCUGGGAACUGCAUUUGUGACUGCAUGGCUAGAGUACGGCAGAGGGGGAUGGAAUUCCGCGUGUAGCAGUGAAAUGCGUAGAUAUGCGGAGGAACACCGAUGGCGAAGGCAAUCCCCUGGGCCUGUACUGACGCUCAUGCACGAAAGCGUGGGGAGCAAACAGG